CCAACCUCCCCUCUCUCCCUCUCUCUUCCCUCCGCCCCUCCCUUGCUCCCCUGCUCGCUCGCUUCCUCCCUCCCUAGCUAGAGCGUUAAUCCGAGGGGUCUUCGGAGCCCGGCUCCUCUCGGUCAACGGGGCCCAAGCGCGGGUGCUCAGGGUGGGUGAGUCGGCGGACAAGCUCCGCUGAGAGCGAGCAAGAGGGUGGUCGGGUGGACGCGGGCCUGCUGGGCCCGGUCGGCCGCCGGCGCAGGGGGCUUGUGAGGAGCACCCAAAAGAGGCCCUUCCACCAAAAGGCACUGCCGACUCCCAUCUCGUUUGGGAGGCUCUCCCGGCUCGGCCUUGUCAUUGGUUGCGAGGCACCGAAAAACCCUGGGGGCUUCAGGGGGAAGGCAGCCGACUCGACUGCAGGCUCCUGGGGCCGCUGGGGAAGACGCUGGGGGGAGCGGCCGAGGGUUUCUCUGCAACGUGGAACCCGGCCCCAACAUGUUAAAAUGGAUAGAUUUAUUGAGAAGUCUGAAGUUUUGUGCCCUUCCACCAAUAACACUGGCCUCCUUGCUAUUCCUUGAAUAAGAAGAUACUUCAUUUCCUGACUCUGGGCAUUUUCACUGACCAUGACCCUUGGACAUAGAACCAUGGAAUGUGUUUCUUCAUCUCUAUCUCCUGGAUUCUUUUAAGUUCCAGAUAAUAUGUGAUAUGUUUUUUAAAAAAUAAGGACUGAAACAAUUUGUGUCAACUUUUGCUUUCAGUACAGUUGUAUUUUCUUUUGCUCUCUGUCAGUUUAGUCUUCUGUAUCUAAUAAAUACAAUAAUAAACAGCACUAUAUCUUA